rnacentral:rRNA from 1 species
CCUACGGGAGGCAGCAGUGGGGAAUAUUGCACAAUGGGGGAAACCCUGAUGCAGCGACGCCGCGUGAAGGAAGAAGUAUCUCGGUAUGUAAACUUCUAUCAGCAGGGAAGAAAAUGACGGUACCUGACUAAGAAGCUCCGGCUAAAUACGUGCCAGCAGCCGCGGUAAUACGUAUGGAGCAAGCGUUAUCCGGAUUUACUGGGUGUAAAGGGAGCGCAGGCGGCAUGGCAAGUCAGAUGUGAAAGCCCGGGGCUCAACCCCGGGACUGCAUUUGAAACUGUCAGGCUGGAGUGCAGGAGAGGCAG